rnacentral:rRNA from 1 species
UACGUAGGGGGCAAGCGUUGUCCGGAAUCAUUGGGCGUAAAGAGCGUGUAGGCGGCCCGGUAAGUCCGCUGUGAAAGUCCAGGGCUCAACCCUGGGAUGCCGGUGGAUACUGUCGGGCUCGAGUCCGGAAGAGGAGCGUAGAAUUCCUGGUGUAGCGGUGAAAUGCGCAGAUAUCAGGAGGAAUACCAGCGGCGAAGGCGGCGCUCUGGGGCCGGUACUGACGCUGAGGAGCGAAAGCGUGGGGAGCAAACAGG